rnacentral:rRNA from 1 species
AUUGAACGCUGGCGGCAGGCCUAACACAUGCAAGUCGAGCGGAUGAAGGGAGCUUGCUCCUGGAUUCAGCGGCGGACGGGUGAGUAAUGCCUAGGAAUCUGCCUGGUAGUGGGGGAUAACGUCCGGACACGGGCGCUAAUACCGCAUACGUCCUGAGGGAGAAAGGGGGGGAUCUUCGGACCUCACGCUAUCAGAUGAGCCUAGGUCGGAUUAGCUAGUUGGUGGGGUAAAGGCCUACCAAGGCGACGAUCCGUAACUGGUCUGAGAGGAUGAUCAGUCACACUGGAACUGAGACACGGUCCAGACUCCUACGGGAGGCAGCAGUGGGGAAUAUUGGACAAUGGGCGAAAGCCUGAUCCAGCCAUGCCGCGUGUGUGAAGAAGGUCUUCGGAUUGUAAAGCACUUUAAGUUGGGAGGAAGGGCAGUAAGUUAAUACCUUGCUGUUUUGACGUUACCAACAGAAUAAGCACCGGCUAACUUCGUG